rnacentral:ncRNA from 2 species
AAUAUAUCAAGAGUAGCGACGAGAGAAUUGGCUUGAUGACUCGCUCAGCAACCUUUCAAAGUAAGGUGCUAAAUCCAACCAAGUAUUAUGAAAAUAGUACGAGGAAAGAUAAGUA